CCCGCCGCGACCGGCGCACGGUGAGUAACACGUAUGCAACCUGGCCGCCACAGGGGGAUAACCCGCGGAAACGCGGCCUAAUACCCCGUGACGCCACCGGAGGGCAUCCUCCGGUGGCCAAAGGAGCGAUCCGGUGGCGGAUGGGCAUGCGGCGCAUUAGCUAGACGGCGGGGUGACGGCCCACCGUGGCGACGAUGCGUAGGGGUUCUGAGAGGAAGGCCCCCCACACUGGGACUGAGACACGGCCCAGACUCCUACGGGAGGCAGCAG
rnacentral:rRNA from 1 species